rnacentral:rRNA from 1 species
GAGGUCCGACCUGCCCAGUGAUAUCAAUUCAACGGCCGCGGUAUACUGACCGCGCUAAGGUAGCGCAAUCACUUGUCUCUUAAAUCGAGACUAGUAUGAAAGGACCCACGAGAGUCUAACUGUCUCCUUUUUUUAAUCAGUGAAACUAAUCUCCCCGUGAAAAAGCGGGGAUCAUAAUAUAAGACGAGAAGACCCUAUGGAGCUUAAGAUUAAACAAUACUUCUUUUUUUCCCCCCCAUUUUCAGAAAAAUACCCCCACAAAGCACUUUAUUGUUAAACUUCGGUUGGGGCGACCGCGGAGUAAAACCAACCCUCCACGCAAGUGGAAAUCCCCUCCACAACAAAGAGCCACAACUCUAUGAACCAAAAAUUGUUAAUUGACCCAAUGCUUGAUCAACGAAACAAGUUACCCUAGGGAUAACAGCGCAAUCUACUUUAAGAGUCCCUAUUGACAAGUAGGUUU